CCGAGUUUACAACUCCCAAACCCCUGUGAACAUACCUACUUGUUGCCUCGGCGGAUCAGCCCGCGCCCCGGUAAAACGGGACGGCCCGCCAGAGGACCCCUAAACUCUGUUUCUAGAUGGAACUUCUGAGUAAAACCAUACAAUAAAUCA
rnacentral:misc_RNA from 1 species